GGCCGGAGGGCGGGGAGCGGGAGGCGGGGCUCUGAGAGCGAGCUUCGCUGCGAGUAUCGGGACUGCGCAGUGAUGUUAUCCCGCGACGGGCAAGGGUUUGCUUGGCAAUGUGCCUUCGUAGCCCAGAAAGCCGACCGUAGCCUGGGCUGUAUAAAAAGAAUUGUGGCCAGCAAGGCGAGGGAGGUGAUACUGUACCAAUACGCUGUGCUGCUGAGACAUCACCUGCAGAGCUGCAUCUAGGUGUGGAGUCUUCCGUACAGGAGAGAGAUGGAGCUGCUGGUAUGCAUCCAGAGGGCCACAAAAAUGCUCCAAGGGCUGGAACACCUCUCCUAUAAGGACAGGCUGAGAGCUGGGGCUGUUCAGCCUGGAGAACAGAAGGCUCCAGAGAGACCUGAGUGCAACCUUUCAGUACCUGAAAGGGUUCUGCAAGAAAAGACAGACUCGUUAGCAGGGUCUGUUGUGAUAGCACAAGGGGAAAUGGUUUCAAACUAAAAGAGGUGAGAUUUAGGUUGGAUAAAAGGAAGAAGUUUGUUAUGAUGAGGGUGGUGAGGCACUGGCACGGGUCACCCAGAGAGCUGGUCCUGCCCCAUCCCUACACAUACUUCAGGUCAGGCUGGACAGGGCUCUGAGCAACCUGAUCCAGCUGCAGGUGUCCCUCUUCAGUGCAGGGCACUUGGAUUAGAUGGCCUGUAGGGUUCCCUUCCAAUUCAAAUGAUUCUGUGAUAACAUCUUGGCAUGAGUUCAUUAGGUUCUGAGAGAAAGCAGUUAUAAUCCGUGCAUUAAAUUUAAACAACAAAAUGCAACCCCAAACCUUCUCCCCCUUCUCCCCUCCCCCCCCAAAAAAUGUGGUUAUGUCAGAAAAAUUCAGCUAGAAGUAGAUGUAUGUUUAUCUAGCAAAAUCACCACAUGGAAAAGAAGUGUUGGGGUUUGCUGAUAUGCAGUAUCAUUGGUAUGAGAGCCUUAGUAAGAGCAAUGUCACUCAGAAAAUGACUGAUGGAAAUUGCAUCCAUUUUUAAUGUUAAAUCAUAACAUUAAUAAAGAAUCAAAGCAGUAGUUAGUUCUUAUCUUUGUUUAUUUUGGAGAGGUUAUUAUAAACAAAUAAUAGUUUCUUUGUCCUUUGAGGAAUGGCCCCUUAGCUUCCCUACCUCCUUCAUGGAGCAUCUCCAUACUCUGCAGGGAUAUGAAUGUUUUCAGAGCAUUUGAAGUAGUUUUCUAUGGAAGAAUAGGAUUUGAUGUGUUAUCUCUUUAAAGUUCUGGAUGAAUACUUCACAAAUGGACGAUAACCUCAUAAACGUACCCACUUGGGGUUUAAAUCUUCCAGAGUAAAAAGUCCCCCCAAAGAAGCCUUCAUUUCCACAAGUUGAGUAUGCAUGUGAUUAGGGACGUCUCUAUUUGAAGUGUAGCUAAUGUAAAUCACUCUUUAUAUAUCAAGUUCCAGAUUUUCUGAAAGUGUUUUAGGAUGUAAAAGGGAAAGGUGCAAAGGUCUAAGUGGUAACACUGGCCGUUGCUAACCUUAAGGAUUGCUUUCUAAUUAUACAGCUUAACUAUGUGUGAUUCCAUUUAACCUUUUUUUUUUUUUCCAACAAGGAACAAAAGGGCAAACAUUCUAUGUAUUUUCCCAUCAAUAUGUCUCAGCUGUGCUUAACUGUGACAACCUGUGCAGCUGAAAUGUUAAUUUAGCCUUGUUUAUGUUCAAUUCAGCUUGAUUCAUGCAAAGUAAUACUUCUGUUCACUCGAAAGAGAACUGAAAAUACUGUUUUCUCACAAGCAGUAAUUGGACGGUAAUGCUAUUUCAUCAUUCAGCUCAGGCAGCUGUAACAUCCCACAGUAAGAUUCAGAAACGUUUCAUAGAUGUGGUGUCAGGCAUCUUUUGGACUAUUCCUGCACAGUGUGCUCCAUUGUUGAGUAGAUUCAAAACAAGAUUCAAAAGCUGGUCGACACAGCUGUCCUUUUCUUACACAGUGCUCUCUCUUGGUUCUUUCAGACCUACUGCAACCUGCCAAGGAAUCCAGUUCAACAGUCCAGCAAUCUUGCCGUGACCCGAACAAACAGGAUAUAUGCUGCCACGGGAAAAAUCCUUCACAGAGGACCUGUGAGUAAGGAUUCAGGGACUUCCAGAAAAACCACAUGGGUCUCAUAUAGAUGACGCAGUACGAAUGGAACACCCCCAGGAGGAGAGUUACCAGAAAAGAAGUUACAAACUUCUUCAGCACGUUAACAAAGUUAGGAGGAUCUGCAAUGGAAAACGUCUGCAUUGGGACAGAUGGAGAAAUGUAUUAAUGUGGACAGCUAUAUACAUCUCCACUUCUUAAAAGGAAAAAAAUACCACAAGCACAUGAAGAAAGCGAGGAGCUCAACAAAGAAGGCAACAUUAGAGGCACAGAAAUACUAAAGAGCAAAACUCAUCAGAGGAAAGUUUCGGUUAAGGGGAUAGUGUGACUUACAGGGUCACCCUGAAUGUACUUCCUUCUAUAGCUCAGCCUGGGAUAUAAGCAAUAAUUUUCACUCACUUUUCAAGACUAAAGGGAAACCCUCAGUCGAGCCCUAGGGGUUUUGUUUCUUGAUUCCAGGAUUAUGGAACAUAACCAGAGGAAAAAAACCUAGCGUGAAAUGAUAGAGGGUUUACAUUCCCACCCAAAUCCCAAACCAUACAGACCACAAGAAAGCCAGUUUAAUAAUAAUGAAUUGCAUGCUACAAGUUCUGCAAACAAAACGGAGUGCCUUUAGAGUUGAACUAUAGACAUU